CCCAACGCCUUUGGCUUCCACCCGCAAGGCGCACCUGGGAAACAACCCCUCCCCGUCCCUGUAAAAACAAACCCCAAUCAAAAGCGCCCGCAGCAAGACGGAUAUCUCGCGAGAUUUCACGAUCCUGCCCUUCAACUGUCUCCAUUUCUUUCGUCACUUCCGCCCCGAUCUACUUUGAACGCCCGCGAGGCGAGCUCCAGAUUGCGCCUGCUCAGAAGCCGCAGCGCUCCCUCCGCGCCCCCAACCCUGGCUAUAAAUGGGCGUGCUCUGGGCUUGCUGUUUCCUUUCGGCCAUGGUGGUAGAGUCGUCUUGUCUUCCCGGAGAGGGUUUUCAUGUGCAGAGACAAGUCUGGAAGACACCAUAGGAACCUUCUUCACCUGCAGCAUUCCUUCUAGACAAGAGGUAAGAAGAGGAUUUUAGAGCAUGUUUCAACAGCCUGUGGUGUUACUUGGGAUCAAGUGGUCAUGCAUAUGUGAUUUUAUUGACCCAAGGCUGACACCUUUUU
rnacentral:lncRNA from 1 species